UGAACAACGAACCCUUAAUAGCGGCUGCACCAUUAGGAUGUCCUGAUCCAACAUCGAGGUCGUAAACCCUUUCGUCGAUAUGGACUCUUAGAAAGGAUUGCGCUGUUAUCCCUAGGGUAACUUGGUUCGUUGAUCAGGCUUUAGCUGGGUCAUUGUUCGUCAGAUG
rnacentral:rRNA from 1 species